rnacentral:lncRNA from 1 species
CUCUCCCGUAGAACACUCAUGAGACACACCUGCCUCGUGUGGGCCUGGGCAGCUUGCUGUUACUAAUAAAACAGCAGCAACACAGGACAGCUUCACUUCCUGAAACUCCCUCUGUCACGUGCUUUGCAUGAAUCCUCACACCGUCUCACCAGGGGCGCUCUCCCAGUUUCACCAGUGACUUGGUGACAACCAGCAUCGCUCACGAAGCGUCAGCCUAAUAUAUUCGCGUCAUUCAAGAAAUCAACUAUUUCUUCAAAGAAUUGAUAUCCCUUAAGAAGUCUCAGCUGGGCACUGUGGCUGACACCUGUAAUCCUAAUAAUUUCGGAGGCCAAGGCGGGAGGAUUACUUGAGUCCAUGAGUUCAAGACCAGCCUGGGCAAUAUAGUGAGACCUUGUCUCUAAAAAAUGAGCAAAAAAUUAGCCAGGUGUGGUGGCAUGUGCCUGUAGUCCCAACUACUCAGGAGGCUGAGGUGGAAGGAUCGCUGGACCCUGGGAGGUCAAGACUGUAGAGAGCCACAAUCGUGUCACCACACUCCAGCCUGGGCAACAGUGAGCCCUUGUCUCAAAAUAAACAAAGUCUCCCUGCUACUUCUACUUCUAUCUUUAUUCCAUUGUCCACCUCAUCCAUCCACUAUAAGUCAAUUUUAUUAGUUUCCUAGGUGUCUAUUUCAUAUAAAUAAAGCAAGUAUCAAAUGUUAUUCCACCCUUUUACUCAAAGGAGAGUAUACUCUGUUCUGCAUCUUGCCUUUUUCAUUUAACAAUGUAUUUUGUAGCUUAUGUCAGUC